CAGGCUUAACACAUGCAAGUCGAGGGGCAGCAUUUUAGUUUGCUUGCAAACUGAAGAUGGCGACCGGCGCACGGGUGAGUAACACGUAUCCAACCUGCCGAUAACUCCGGGAUAGCCUUUCGAAAGAAAGAUUAAUACCGGAUAGCAUACGAAUAUCGCAUGAUAUUUUUAUUAAAGAAUUUCGGUUAUCGAUGGGGAUGCGUUCCAUUAGUUUGUUGGCGGGGUAACGGCCCACCAAGACUACGAUGGAUAGGGGUUCUGAGAGGAAGGUCCCCCACAUUGGAACUGAGACACGGUCCAAACUCCUACGGGAGGCAGCAGUGAGGAAUAUUGGUCAAUGGGCGCGAGCCUGAACCAGCCAAGUAGCGUGAAGGAUGAAGGCUCUAUGGGUCGUAAACUUCUUUUAUAUGGGAAUAAAGUUUUCCACGUGUGGAAUUUUGUAUGUACCAUAUGAAUAAGGAUCGGCUAACUCCGUGCCAGCAGCCGCGGUAAUACGGAGGAUCCGAGCGUUAUCCGGAUUUAUUGGGUUUAAAGGGAGCGUAGGUGGAUUGUUAAGUCAGUUGUGAAAGUUUGCGGCUCAACCGUAAAAUUGCAGUUGAAACUGGCAGUCUUGAGUACAGUAGAGGUGGGCGGAAUUCGUGGUGUAGCGGUGAAAUGCUUAGAUAUCACGAAGAACUCCGAUUGCGAAGGCAGCUCACUAGACUGUCACUGACACUGAUGCUCGAAAGUGUGGGUAUCAAACAGGAUUAGAUACCCUGGUAGUCCACACAGUAAACGAUGAAUACUCGCUGUUUGCGAUAUACAGUAAGCGGCCAAGCGAAAGCAUUAAGUAUUCCACCUGGGGAGUACGCCGGCAACGGUGAAACUCAAAGGAAUUGACGGGGGCCCGCACAAGCGGAGGAACAUGUGGCUUAAUUCGAUGAUACGCGAGGAACCUUACCCGGGCUUAAAUUGCAACAGAAUAUAUUGGAAACAGUAUAGCCGUAAGGCUGUUGUGAAGGUGCUGCAUGGUUGUCGUCAGCUCGUGCCGUGAGGUGCCGGCUUAAGUGCCAUAACGAGCGCAACCCUUAUCUUUAGUUACUAACAGGUCAUGCUGAGGACUCUAGAGAGACUGCCGUCGUAAGAUGUGAGGAAGGUGGGGAUGACGUCAAAUCAGCACGGCCCUUACGUCCGGGGCUACACACGUGUUACAAUGGGGGGUACAGAAGGCGGCUACCUGGUGACAGGAUGCUAAUCCCAAAAACCUCUCUCAGUUCGGAUCGAAGUCUGCAACCCGACUUCGUGAAGCUGGAUUCGCUAGUAAUCGCGCAUCAGCCAUGGCGCGGUGAAUACGUUCCCGGGCCUUGUACACACCGCCCGUCAAGCCAUGAAAGCCGGGGGUACCUGAAGUACGUAACCGCAAGGAGCGUCCUAGGGUAAAACUGGUAAUUGGGGCUAA
rnacentral:rRNA from 1 species